UACGUAGGUGGCAAGCGUUGUCCGGAAUUAUUGGGCGUAAAGCGCGCGCAGGCGGCUUCUUAAGUCCAUCUUAAAAGUGCGGGGCUUAACCCCGUGAUGGGAUGGAAACUGAGAGGCUGGAGUAUCGGAGAGGAAAGUGGAAUUCCUAGUGUAGCGGUGAAAUGCGUAGAGAUUAGGAAGAACACCGGUGGCGAAGGCGACUUUCUGGACGACAACUGACGCUGAGGCGCGAAAGCGUGGGGAGCAAACAGGAUUAGAUACCCUAGUAGGCUGACUGACU
rnacentral:rRNA from 1 species